rnacentral:sRNA from 1 species
GUUUUAAAGCUGCAGGUUGAAGGGAAGGCUGCUGUUACCAGUCCAGCUGCCUGAUGGAGUCCAGCUUGCUCUUCAUCUUUCAGGAGGGUUUUGAAGUACCCUGAGUAUCACAGCCUCUACAGACAUAAAUUCUCCCCAUUUGAAAGUGGACCUUUGGAAUGAAGGUCCUGAAUUCUUCCAGAAUGAGACUGAUAUAAAUACAAUGAUUGUAUCUUGCUUUGGCAACUGCAGUAAAAAGAGGCCCAAUGCAAUAUUUUUUACAGGAUACCAUGUGAAUCCAUUUCAUGUUCAUUUCGUCCUAAGAGUCCUUUCUCUGUGCCUCUUUUUAGAACAAUGCUAAAGUAGCUGUGCUAGGGGCCUCUGGAGGCAUCGGGCAGCCACUUUCACUUCUCCUGAAGAACAGCCCCUUGGUGAGCCGCCUGACCCUCUAUGAUAUCGCGCACACACCUGGAGUGGCUGCAGAUCUGAGCCACAUCGAGACCAAAGCCGCUGUGAAAGGCUACCUCGGACCUGAACAGCUGCCUGACUGCCUGAAAGGUUGUGAUGUGG